rnacentral:tRNA from 1 species
GCUGGUCUGGGUGCCGGGCUGCGCGGCCUGCGGGGCGGCGCUCGGGGAACUCUCCGACUGCGGUUCCGAGGCCGCGGGCCCGCC